rnacentral:rRNA from 1 species
UACGUAGGGUGCGAGCGUUAAUCGGAAUUACUGGGCGUAAAGGGUGCGCAGGCGGUCCUGCAAGUCAGGCGUGAAAUCCCCGGGCUUAACCUGGGAAUGGCACUUGAAACUACGGGACUGGAGUAUGGCAGAGGGAGGUGGAAUUCCACGUGUAGCGGUGAAAUGCGUAGAGAUGUGGAGGAAUACCGAUGGCGAAGGCAGCCCCCUGGGAUAACACUGACGCUCAUGCACGAAAGCGUGGGGAGCAAACAGG